rnacentral:ncRNA from 1 species
UUAAAAACGAUGCGAAGGACUAGUAAUAAUUUAUUUCAGGCGUAGAGAGGCAGUGGUUGGUGAAAACUGUCGCUGAAUAAUUAUGAACUCACCUUUAAUGUUGCAGAAGUGAACCAUUAGUAAUUUCUGACGUUUAUCCGCGUUAAGGAUUCAAGUGAACGUAUAUUACGUUAAUUUGGGUGGCACCGCGGGAGUUAUAAGCUUCUCGUCCCUUUC